CGGCGAGCAAUGUCGCCUUCUCUUCGGAGCAUCCGAGACAGGUGGUGCAUGGUUGUCGUCAGCUCGUGUCGUGAGAUGUUGGGUUAAGUCCCGCAACGAGCGCAACCCUUACCCUUAGUAGCCAGCACAUAGAGGUGGGCACUCUAGGGGGACUGCCAGGGAGAACCUGGAGGAAGGUGGGGAUGACGUCAAAUCAUCAUGCCCCUUAUGGGCAGGGCUACACACGUGCUACAAUGGCGUAAACAAAGGGAGGCGAGGCCGCGAGGCGGAGCAAACCCCAAAAAUAACGUCCCAGUUCGGAUUGUAGCCUGCAACCCGGCUACAUGAAGCUGGAAUCGCUAGUAAUCGCGGAUCAGAAUGCCGCGGUGAAUACGUUCCCGGGUCUUGUACACACCGCCCGUCACACCAUGGGAGUUGGCAACGCCCGAAGUCAGUGACCCAACCGGAAGGGGGGAGCUGCCGAAGGCGGGGCCGGUAACUGGGGUGAAGUCGUAACAAGGUAGCCGUAUCGGAAG
rnacentral:rRNA from 1 species